rnacentral:lncRNA from 1 species
ACUGCACCUUCAUGCUCUCAUUGUUCAAGCCCAGCCUGCCCACAAAGCCCAGCUGGAUAAAGAAGAUGUGCAGAUAUGGGCCAUGAGGAUGCUCAGUGGAAGGUUACAAGUUACUGUCACAGAGACAGCUCUUCCUCACACCUCUGUGAAGUUCAUGUAAAUAAAGUUCUAGCAGCUUUCAGGUGUGAAAUGACAGUCUAGAACUGCACAACAGCCUAAAUUAUAUCAGCUUUAUGAAAACAGUGCAUACUGUUUACACCUUCAGAACAGGAAAAUGACCCUGAGCACCUAUGCCUGUUCUCCAUCUCAGCUAGAAAAACCAAGGAUAGGUGGAAGGCAAAUAAAUCCAACAAAAGGAUUUACUCUUACAGCACUGAGUGAUUCAACUAGUCUGAGAUUUUUCCUUCUGGCCCCUUCCACCUGACUGGGACUUGCCUUUAGAAGAGGAUUCCCAUGAAGCCCAGACUGUGGUACCCUGGUCAGACAUAGCUUGUGCCCAGUUUUUCCCACUGGCUGCCUCCAGCCUUUGCUCAGCACAUACCGUGCUAUGGAAGAAGCUGAGGAUCUAACUCCAGGUGCACAAAUAUUUAUCUUGAGGUCAGGAGUUUCAGUUCAUGUGUUGCUGUCUACUAAAAUUGUUUCCUCUCUCUUGCCCUAGGUACAUGCAAAGAUAGGGCAGAAGAAGGUUCAGAGAUUGCAGUGAGUUGAUUGUAGUUUAAUACAGCCAAAACCAACCUGUGAGCCACAGCUUCAGCUGUAGGCUCUGUCCUGCAGGGAAAACCUGUUGUUAAGGAAACAACCAUUAUCUUAUCUGCAGACUCUGGAAACAUUAACAUCAGCUUUGUAUAAGGAUUCAAAGGUCCUCCUAUAUACAAGGAAAACCGUUAACACAAACAUGUCUGAGAUGAAUACAUGUGUAUCUGUAUUUUAAAUAGAAUGUUGUCUUUUUCAUUAAAAAACUUAAUACAAAAUUGAGGUUCUGCAGUGACACACUGGGUUUGCUGGGUUCCUUCAGUUCCUUCAGCUGUGACCCUUCAGAUUGCUGAAUUUAGUGCUUGGACGUCCAACAGCUUGAAGGCUCUGACCAUCCAUUUGGUGAGCUCAGGCAGUUCCUCACUGAAGCAGAUUUUGGCAGGGUGCUGGCUGCUCUCAGUAACUCUGGUUUUCCAUUUCAUGCAGGAAUCCUGCUUUUAAAAACAGAACCCAGAGAUGCCUGUGAAUAAUUCGCUUCCACAAGCACUGAAGUAUUGCUGCCAUUUAAUGAGAGAAGCAGUCUGAGUGCUACCUGCACCUACUUCUGACCUAGACUGCAACCCCUCUAUGUGCCAUGUGUAUAAUGCCUGGUGCAACAGCCCCCCUGACCUCAGCACAGCUGCAGGUAACAUAGGAAACUGUUUGAAAAUUAAUAAUUUAUAUUUAACUCUUUGCAAUGGAUAGUUUGGAAUAAUUUGAAUUCUGCUGACAUAUCCCACUAAAUGUUGGUUAGUAAAUAAAUUUUGUUCCCAUGACCUCA